rnacentral:rRNA from 1 species
GUGCGCGUGCUACCUGCAGUCGACGGAAAGGCCCAGCUUGCUGGGUACUCGAGUGGCGAACGGGUGAGUAACACGUGGGUGAUCUGCCCUGAACUUUGGGAUAAGCCUGGGAAACUGGGUCUAAUACCGGAUAUGACCUUGGAGUGCAUGCUCUGGGGUGGAAAGCUUUUGCGGUUCAGGAUGGGCCCGCGGCCUAUCAGCUUGUUGGUGGGGUAAUGGCCUACCAAGGCGACGACGGGUAGCCGACCUGAGAGGGUGAUCGGCCACACUGGGACUGAGACACGGCCCAGACUCCUACGGGAGGCAGCAGUGGGGAAUAUUGCACAAUGGGCGCAAGCCUGAUGCAGCGACGCCGCGUGAGGGAUGACGGCCUUCGGGUUGUAAACCUCUUUCACCAGGGACGAAGCGCAAGUGACGGUACCUGGAGAAGAAGCACCGGCCAACUACGUGCCAGCAGCCGCGGUAAUACGUAGGGUGCGAGCGUUGUCCGGAAUUACUGGGCGUAAAGAGCUCGUAGGCGGUUUGUCGCGUCGUCUGUGAAAUUCUGCAACUCAAUUGUAGGCGUGCAGGCGAUACGGGCAGACUUGAGUACUACAGGGGAGACUGGAAUUCCUGGUGUAGCGGUGAAAUGCGCAGAUAUCAGGAGGAACACCGGUGGCGAAGGCGGGUCUCUGGGUAGUAACUGACGCUGAGGAGCGAAAGCGUGGGUAGCGAACAGGAUUAGAUACCCUGGUAGUCCACGCCGUAAACGGUGGGUACUAGGUGUGGGGCUCAUUUCACGAGUUCCGUGCCGUAGCUAACGCAUUAAGUACCCCGCCUGGGGAGUACGGCCGCAAGGCUAAAACUCAAAGGAAUUGACGGGGGCCCGCACAAGCGGCGGAACAUGUGGAUUAAUUCGAUGCACCGCGAAGAACCUUACCUGGGUUUGACAUACCCCAGACGCAUGUAAAGAUACAUGUUCCCUUGUGGUUGGGGUACAGGUGGGGCAUGGCUGGCCUCACCUCCGGUCCUGAAAUGUUGGGUUAAUUCCCCAACGAGCCGAACCCUUGUCCUGAAUUCCACCGGGUUUUCCGGGGAAUUUCAGAAAAUGCCGG